rnacentral:misc_RNA from 1 species
GAUGAAGAACGCAGCGAAAUGCGAUAAGUAAUGUGAAUUGCAGAAUUCAGUGAAUCAUCGAAUCUUUGAACGCACAUUGCGCCCGCCAGUAUUCUGGCGGGCAUGCCUGUUCGAGCGUCAUUUCAACCAUCAAGCCCCCGGGCUUGUGUUGGGGACCUGCGGCUGCCGCAGGCCCUGAAAACCAGUGGCGGGCUCGCUAGUCACUCCGAGCGUAGUAGUUACAUCUCGCUCAGGGCGUGCUGCGGGUUCCGGCCGUUAAAAGCCUUUUACCCCAAGGUUGACCUCGGAUCAGGUAGGAAGACCCGCUGAACUUAAGCAUGUCAAUAAGCGGAGGA